ensembl:lncRNA
GGGGACAAGAAGGAAAUCAAGGGGGUGGACAAGAAAAUGGGAAUGGAGUAGGAAACGUAGGUGGAAAUGAGAACGGAGGAGGAAAUGGAAAUGGAGGAGGAAAUGGAAACAGACAUAGGAAUGGAGGUGAGAAUGGGAAUGGGGGACAAGAAGGAAAUCAAGGGGGUGGACAAGAAAAUGGGAAUGGAGUAGGAAACGUAGGUGGAAAUGAGAACGGAGGAGGAAAUAGAAAUGGAGGAGGAAAUGGAAACAGACAUAGGAAUGGAGUAGGAAACGUAGGUGGAAAUGAGAACGGAGGAGGAAAUGGAAAUGGAGGAGGAAAAGGUAAAGAGGGUGGAAAUGAGCAUAAAUGGAUAGAAUGUUUUGAUGUUGCUGCACAAAUGAUUAAAAACUCAAGCAUACCAAAACUUUCCAAAGAACAACGAAAGGAAGAAAUAGUAGUACGGAUCCACAGUGAGCUCUGAAACAGCAGCAGAAGUGACUGACUGUCAACAUCUUUUACAGCACCGUGCUGAAAUUGCCUUGAACAGCAAUUUAAAGUAAUUUAAAAAUCAUAAAACUCCACAAACUAAUUCCACAUGAUUAUUAUUGUAUUUUAUAUUUAAGUCUUUUUCUUAUAAAUGACUGUCCAACAUUCAACUUAUAGUUACAUUAAAGUUGUUAAAUGUGUAAGAGAUUAUUUAGUGACUUUAUAUUUGUUUUCUUUUGUAUGGGAUGGAUUUGGACAAAUAUAAUAUAUAACAGGUUCUCUUGUUCCUGCAUGGUGCUGCCCUUAAUGUUUGCAGGUAACUGCCAUUUUGUGGCAUUGAUGUAAAAAGCCAGUUUGAGUCUCAGGCUACAUCCACAUGUACACGGGUAUUUUUGAAAACAGAGAUUUUCCGUUUUCUUUUUUUCUUUUUUUUAAUCCUGUCUAAAUGCUGCCAGGAACAUGCCAAAGCAACAGGUGGUGAUAUAUUCCUAACCAUGUAGAAAUGUAAUGUCGGUUGAUGCAUGCACUCUAUAUUCAUAUAUUUCUUUAACACACAUAUAUACAAUUGUAAAAGCAAAACCUUUUACUGUUAUACAAGAAAAUCAUUAGUACAUCAUUAAUGUCAAAGUUUUUUACAGUGAAUAUGGUCGUGUUCUUGUGAGAAGUCAUUGUUCUAGACCUUUUUUCUGAACAAACAUGUUGACUCGUGACCUCCAAUAAAAGAAAUAAAAGCUUGGGAGUCCCUGUAGCAGCUUCAGUAACUAAGUCCAAUAAAUUAUCUACAUUUGUGAUUUUUCUGCUUUGGAAUUUUAGGAUCUGUGCUGUGAAAAAAGCUUUAAUAUUUAAAUCUGAUCACUUUUUAAUACUUGCUGUUGGACUCUUUCACCUUAAUGAGCUAAUCACCAACAUCUGUAUGCUGCCUGCUCCAUUCAUGUCUCUGUAUUUUUUGUGACUAUUUUUUUUUGUUUGUGCCACUAUCUAGUCAUUUACAUGUCUUGCUUGAUUGAUGUCAUUUCUUUGUCAUUUAUUUCUCUUUGAUUUUUUUUCCCCUUAAAUUGCGAUUUUGUGUUUCUGUCUUCUCUUUUCUUUGUUGUUGAUGUGUUUGCCUUUCUGUUUUCUUCAUUUCUGUGUGGUCACUUUGUAGAUAGGGCACUGAAAAUUUAAAAAAAAAUCAAAUAAUAAGUAAGCGGGGAUGGGGAUCAGUGUGAAAUUCAUCUAGUCUUAAGGUCUCUUUUAAUUUAAAAAGAAUAUUAAACAAUUAAUAUGAAACCUUUUUUAUUAUCUCAAGAACUUUAGUUGACCUGCUUAUUUUAAAAUAAGUGUAUUCAGAUGCAUGAAAUCAGAUGAUUGUUUCUCAAAAUAAUAUUUAUCUGUGUUUAAAUAACAAUAAAUAACAGAUUGUCAGAUCAAUUGAAAUGACAGGGCAAAGAAAUUGUUGAGCUCUUCUUUUAGUAUGUGGCUGUUGUCAGUGGUUUGGGGUCCCUGGCCUUUGCAGCUGGUGAAUAAUCAUUUGGAUGUUAUUAAAAAGAGUACCUUAAACUGCAGCAUUCAGGCUUCUAUUUUUCUCUUGUUUUUCUCUUGCUUCACUCUGGCGUCUCCUGCUGGAUUAAGGCUCAA